ensembl:lncRNA
AGGAGAAGUAGCUGUCUCCCGCGUGUUGUCACGGCCAGCCACAUUAAGAAAGCCUCACGGUUCGACUGAGCCCAAAAGGGGUAUCUGUGAGGUCAGUAAAACAGAAGUCGCAACUGCAGCAAGUUUAGACGGAGUUUCGCUCCAUGGGCGAAGCUUGGCUUGUGUAGCCGUGAGCCGCAACUGGUGGUGCUGCAGGCCACCAUCAAGGUAGAUAGCGUGGGGACAGGGAGUUGGAGCAAGAGCUUGGUUGUGGGACUAGCCUUACUCAGGGCAGAUACACAUGGAGACACAACCAGGUCCUCAGGUGUCUAGCUGAGAAAGUUGAGCGAAAAAGGAAAUCCAUCAACGCUCAACCCUUCACGAAGCAAGAGGAGCGUCAGUUUUCAUCAACACUUGUCCGGGAGGGAGACAAGCCGAGAACGAGCCCCUCAACUCCGGACCUUGACCCUCUGAAGGUUGCCAGGGAUUGGCAAACGCAAGUGGACUUGGAUCAGAGGCUAAUUUUUCCCACAGAGAUCGUAACAACUACUCUGUGACCAGACCUUGUCUUUAGGUCUAACUCCCAAAAACUUGUGUAUGUCAUUGAGCUGACGGUACCAUGGGAGGAAGCAAUUGAAGAAACAUUUGAGCAUAAGAAGCUGCGGUAUGCCAACGUGGCAGCUGAGGCAGAGGACAGAGGCUGGAAGAUCAAGGUGCGCCCGGUGGAAGUGGGGAGCAGGGGCUUUGUUGCCAGUACAACAGCAAAACUGCUUAGAGAGAUUGGGAUCAGAGGACAGGCGCAACGGCAGGCUAUUAGAGAAUUAGCUAGCACUGCUGAGAGGACCAGUCACUGGCUAUGGCUAAAAAGGGAUGACAUCACUUGGGCAGCUCGGGCAGUCAGCUAACCGCGAUACACAUGUCAAGGAUUGAUCAACUCGUGGUUGGCCUGCCUCAAAAGUGGGCGUCGAAAGGUUAGCCGUCUCGCUGGGAGCUGACGAGUCUAUGGGAGGACUUUAGUAAAGUAACUUAAUGUUGCCCGUUUCUAGCCUGAGGUUGGAUGCAUUCUACGGACCCGACAUCGAGAACAAAGUGGGUCAGCAAGGAAUAGGUUACCCUGCCAUUUAGAUGACGUCCUGGUUGUUCAUCCUCCUCGUUCCGCUGUAUGUGAAAGUGUCGCCUUUUCGUAGCCCAGUGCUUUUCCCACGCACUGUCGCCGAGAGACAAAGAUCAUCUAAAUCAUGAAGAAGAUCAGACUUGGUGAAGAUAAAGUGAAUUUGCUGACAUUCGCCAUCAUUUCCAGUGAGGCUACUAACACUUUCCAGGAUCUCCCAGGCUGCUUUCACUGAUGCUGCUCGAUUAAUAAACAUCAGGAUCAGCUCAUUGUCACUUGUCACAAGUGAAAUUCUUGAGGAACACCAGGAAGAACGAUUUUUUUCCCCCUUCAAGAUAAGUUGUAUAUUCUUUAUCUUAAUAACACUUACACAAGUAUAAUCUUGACUAGAAGUAGUAUUGCUAGUAUUGUUGGCAGAAACAUUGUGGGCAUCACGCACUGUUGUCUACCACUGUCAGACGUUAAAAAGCUACUUUAGGCUUUAUUCACUGAAUGAGGGCUCACCCUGGUGGGUAACUCGGCAUGCUUUGAUUGGCAGUUUUAUGUCCUUUUAUGCCCUUUCUGAUGCAACUAACUGUCACACAUUGACUUACUAAAAUUUCUGACCAUUCCCUGCUUAAAUGUUCCUUCAGUGUCAAGAUUUUUAAUUGGUUCAUUUUCUUGCAUGUACUGCCUGUUUCAAAGUAAACAUGAACUACUUUGACAGACUGAAACAAGUCCUUGUCUAGAGGAUCUCAAGCCAACAGGUUUCAGUGAAAGAAGUCGGUC